GUUGAAGCUGUUUCUAGUUAGAAACCAAAGAGUAAACAGCAAAGCAGACAGGAAACAAGAAAAAGAAACGAAAGUUCAGGCUCCCACUGCCAUUGCUGGGGAGAGAGAAGUAAAAACGCACAGGAGAUUAGCGUGAACAGCAAGAAAUGCAGAGCCAGAGAUGUUAAUAAAGAGAGAGAGAGAGUUGAAGAAAGAUGGAGAGUGAGAGAGAGAGAGAGAGAAACUACGAAGACCACGACAAAUCUGUCAGAGUGAGAGAGAGAGAGUAUAUAUCACUUAGCAGCAUUUGAUCAAACAUUAACCAUGAUACUAAUGUCACCGUUAGCCACUCUACUUCGGAUUAUUAGUACAUGAUCACAUUCAUUAGUUAACGGAGGAGUAACGGCGUUAGGAAUAUUGAAAGGUUUGAUUUUGACGGGGACAUGACCCGCCGUCUGUUGUAGACGCCGUUUUCCAAUGCUGGGGACGAGUGCGAUUUUACAAUGCGUGUCUGAUCGUACGGUGGAUAAUUCGUGUACACGGUUAAUAGCGUGGGUCGGGAUGUGGAGAAACUAGACAAUGCCUUUUCUUGUGAAAGUUAGUUAAUGCUUUGAUAGUGAUUGGGAAACACCGGUUGGACCGGUUUAGGGUUCUGUGGUUAUCCUUUUUAUCGACCGUUCGUUUUUUUAAGUGAUUAGAAAACAUACCUCAUGUUGUUAUAUUGAUGUGAUUUUUUCACUCUUGUAUAGAGACCAUGCCACAUGUUGGUUUUUUAUGGAUUGUUUUCACAAUUAAAGUUGCAUGAUGAAGCGAAAAAAUAGGUGAAGUUGUACCUUGUGAUAAAUACGAAAUAAAAUAAACCUUAUCCCAUAAGUCCAAAAGUAAAAUAAUCUAUGAUUAGUGUUGUAUCUAAUUGAAAUGUUUUUGAGAAAAUAGUUUGGUAUAAGGAUUUUUCUGCACUGGUUUGGAUCUUUAGGCUACAGUCCUUUUACGUGUACAGUCGUACUACACAGUCUUAACCUCCCUAUCGGUCAAACGUUUGAAUCUUUUUGUAUAUUUUGAAUAUUUAGGAAGACUAUACAGUUCCAUUAAGCUGUUAAUUUAAUUUUCAGUUAAGUUCUUAUUUACACAAUGAUUGUGAUGUUGUUAGUUGUGACUUGUGAGGAUUAGUUGCAUGUAUUUAUUUGUUAUUGUGUUCACCGUAAAGUAAGAACUAAAUAAUCAUCUUUGUAUUUAAUGUUGGAGAAAAAUUUGUAUCGACGACGCCAAUAAAUAAUAAAUGAAAACAAAAGGUGCUUAAAUAGGUUCAGCUACAAGCGUCUGUAGGCUCUAAAGGUGCAUGGGUUCACAGCUAUGGCCUAUGCGAGAAGACCACACUGCUUUUAGUGUAAAUAGAAUUUUUCUAACUUGUAUUUAUUUCAUCUAUUAAUUUAUCGGUUGUGCAAAUAGUAAUUUAUGAUACAAGAUGUAAGAGAAAACGAGUUUAUAUUUUCAUAAAAGCUCGCAGGCUUCCACUUCCUAUACUAAUGUGACAUACCUCUAUAACGUGGGCAUAUAUUAUUGAAGUUAUAAAACAAUAAACAUUUAUGUUUUACUUUUAUAAAAGAGGUAAUUGACAACAACAACAACAAAAACGUUAAAAACAAAUGAGGUAAAUUUGGUUCACGUUCCACUUCAUGAAAAGUACACUUUUAAUUUAUUUUAAACUGGUAAAUCAGAGGAUAGAAUUACCCCAAAAUACAUUUUCAUUUAAACAAAAUAAAUACGCAAGAGAAUUAAUGAUGCUUAUAUUAAAUGUUGUUAUGAGCUGUUUUAAGACCUCCCAUUUGGCCAUUCUAAAGGGGCAAUGAAAAUUGGAACAGGUUAAUUGAAAGACAAAUGCUCAUGUCCAUUUGAUUGUAAAGAGUGUGAUAUCUAAAUUUUUUUGCUUAAUCAUAUGUAGCGCGUGGUUUCCCUUGUGGUUCUCUUUUUUAUCUUGUUAAGGAGUCUCACUUCUACCUCGCUAUCUUCUGUUUUGGUCUGCAAUUGAGGUUAAUUCUUUUGUUUCACUGGUGUGUAUUGGUUUGUUUGGAUCCCAUAUAUGAAUGACAAAAUGAUUCUUAGUGUUAAAAUAGAUAUAUAAAAAAUAUUGUUUAUAGUGUUAGAGAUUUAUCCUGAGGUCGUUAAAAAAAAAAGAUAUCCUGAGGGAGAAGAGUUAGUGGAUAAGUGGCAAGGUUGACACGCCAAGACAUGUAUGCUUCAUUAGUUAAAAGCUGAGACAAAAGCUGAGACGAUGGUUGUAUCAGUAAGUAGUAACUGAUUUGGGACUGGCUUGCAUCAUCCCUAGGGGAACUAACGGUGGGCAAUGCACCAUCUUAUCCCAGCCGUUGAAACUAGUUCUAAAAGCAUUAUUUGCUAGAGGUUUCCCAAUCUAGGUUUCUGUUUAGUUUACUACUUUUGUAAAAAUAAUUGAGCCGUAUUAAUAUCGUUAUGAAUUUAGGUUUAGUUUUUU